CUUGUUUGCGGACGAUGUCAUGCUGACACUAACGCAACCCCAAAUUUCACUACCAAACCUCAUGGAAGUCAUUAAAGAAUACGGCCUUAACUCCUACUACAAAUUAAAUGUCGCUAAAUCACAGGCUAUGGGUGUGGGAGUCCAGUCUCACCGGCUGAAACACUUGAGUGAGCUUUUCUCAUUCGACUGGAGGAAGGAUUAUAUUACCUUCUUGGGCGUCCAUAUACCCCCCCACCUACCCCAUUUGUUUAAGCUAAACUUCACUAAACUGAUCAAAUCAUUUACAGACACGCUACACACAUGGGAGGGUAAAUAUCUCUCGUGGCUGGGCAGAUUGGCGGCGAUUAAGAUGUCUAUACUUCCCAAACUCCAGUACCUGCUGCGCACGGUCCCGAUAAGUCUGCCGGGCCCAUACAUGAGUACAAUCCAAAAGCUGAUCGUGCGGUUUGUAUGGGCCAACCGCAAAGUGAGGGUGGCCAGCAAGCUCUUACAAAAACCGAUCAAGGAAGGGGGACUGGGCAUGCCCAACAUCCGUUCUUAUCAUAGAGCCACAUUGCUGACUGCCAUAGCAGCGACAAACGCAGUAGAAGACCCCCCCCAGUGGGUCCACAUAGAAGCACACUGGGCAUGCAAACAGGGGCUGCGACACCUAUACCAGCUGCCAUAUAAACUAAGACCGACAUACACAACCAUGCUACCAACCACGGCAGCAAUGAUUAAAACAUGGGACUCUGUGAGGGCAACACUGGGCAUGGUCGGACCAACUAUAGGGAAUAUCCCACUCAUGAGCAUCUCAGUGGGCAUACCGACGUUUGACCACACCCCCUGGGUGAGAGGGGGAUGUACCCAACUUAGCCAGUUAUGCGGGAACAACGAGUUACUGCCGUUCCCAGAACUGCAAACCAAAUUCUCCCUGCAAUCCAGACACAUAUUCCCUUACCUCCAACUGAAAUCAUUUGUGGCCUCACAUUGCAAGGGAUCAUGUACCGUACCACCAAACAUUGGCGCCUUAGAACAGAUAUGCCUACAGGGCAGUAUACCCAAAAAAAUCCUGUCGAAAUUAUAUGCACUACUGAAUACAGCAGAUACGAACAGACACAGAGACUUUAGAGAAGCCUGGCAGGAAGACAUAGGACACCCAAUAGCAGACCUAGACUGGAAACAGGCAUUCCAAACGCACAAAGGGCACACAUCUUGCGCGACCCAUCUAGAAACAAUGAGGAAAAUUAUGUAUAGAUGGUAUAUGGUCCCGGACAAACUAGCGAAACUAUACCCUGGAAGCUCAGGGGAAUGCUGGAGGAGGUGCGGAGAAAGGGGGACAAUGUACCACAUUUGGUGGACUUGCCCGAUAAUCACUCCCUACUGGGCGAUGGUGGAAGGGGUAAUCACUGAUGUGUUGGGCCGCCCAUACAGCCUGGGGCCUGAACAGGGCAUACUAUUCAUGCAUCUUGCCCAAUGGCACAAGCAGGAAAGACAACUGAUAUUCCAGGUGCUCAUAGCGGCAGUAACCCUGAUAGCCAGACAGUGGAAACAACCACAAGCACCCAGCAAACACGAUCUCCUAACACAAACAUCCACAAACUGGGAAUACGAGGCUAUGGCAAAUAAAUACAUCACAAAUAACCACAUGAUCAUAGACACAAAAAACAAAUGGGAAAAAUACGUUCAGAGAAGCUCGCACCACUCCAGAACUCAGGACGCAUAGGUACGCCAAGACAAGAGUGUUGGAGUAGAGCACAAAAGCCAGAGAGACGAGGAACGUCUGAGAGUUAAUCUGGGAGGAGGUCCUGACACGUAGAACCAAUGAUGCAUUGGAGGUAGUCAGGUAGAACCAACAACUAAGUAGCAUGGGCCCCAAGGGAGGGGAAAGAGGUGCACCACUUUCAAGAGGUCUAUAAACUAACUCUUUUCCCCCUUUUCCCCUUUCUUCCCUUAAUUCUUUCCCAUCCCUUCUCUGCACACCCUAC